GUAGGUGGCAAGCGUUGUCCGGAUUUAUUGGGUUUAAAGGGUGCGUAGGCGGCCUUUUAAGUCAGUGCUGAAAUACUCUAGCUUAACUAGAGGGGUGGCAUUGAUACUGAAAGGCUUGAGUGAAGUCGAGGUAGGCGGAAUUGACGGUGUAGCGGUGAAAUGCAUAGAUAUCGUCAAGAACACCGAUUGCGAAGGCAGCUUACUAGACUGACAUUGACGCUGAGGCACGAAAGUGUGGGGAUC
rnacentral:rRNA from 1 species